GGAACAAGUUGGAUUGCUCCGAAUUUCAGUGCCUAUCGGGCAGCCAGUGAACAUUUGUCCAUCUUUAAGGCAUUAAACUGAGAAGAACCACUGAGGAAAGCAUGCCACAGUCUUUCCCAAAAUCCCUGUGUCUUAAGGAACAACCAAGAAGUUAACUGGUCAGGGAAAAGAUUUCUUUUGGAACACAGAAGCCAUCGCUGUGUGCGGAAAUCCAUGACCUGGCCAUGACUUCUACAACCCGGAGGACUUGCCUGGCAUUACCGAAAAGCACAGGGGAAAGAUUCUGUGGCAGAGAAUGAUGGGAGUUGUGAUCCAUACCUCCGUGUGCAUAAUGGUUGUACCUGCUCCAGGAAGGCGCUGGAUCCUCCCAACUCCAUGGCCUGUUCCAGCCACCGUGUCAACAUGCCUUGGUCCAUAGCUCUGGAAGGCACACACCAAGCAGGACCAGUGAACAGAAGAUGAGAAGGGUACAUUUUGACACCAAACUGCCUGGGUUGGAAACCCAGCUCUGUGACCUAGGACCAGUCACUUAACUUCUGUGCCUCGGUUUCCCCAUCUGUCGACUGGGGAUGAUGAGAGUAUCUCUCACUGGGUUGUUGUGAGGAAUGGAUGAGGAAGUACAAAUGCCGUGCCUAAAGCAGCGCCUGGUGCACACUGAUAUGAUAAGUUUUAUUAUUAUCAUCAUCCAAUUAUCAUGAUUUCUGGCAAGUGGGCACUUCCGUUCAGAAAUCUCGGUGAGGAGACAGGGCCAUCCACCGUAUAAGAAUGCAGGCUCAGCGUUUGGCCACUUCCAUUGAGAAUCAACGGUGACUUAUUUGCAAGUCCCCAUCCCCUCAAUUGUCUCCCAUCGAAAUGGGCUCACGGCUUGGUCUGUGUGUCCGUGGGCCCCAUGCUUAGCCUAGAAAUGAUGCACGAAAUAGCACCUCUUAGGCUCACAUCAAUUGCUAAUUAAAAUGGCAUUACCCCUUAAUGGGUUGCAAAGUAGCACUCUCAUUUCCCCACUGUGCAUUUCCGCAGGCUGGACCCGGGCAUCGACCCACCUGGGGUGACUGAGGCUCUCGGGAGAGGGAAGCUGGGCGUAGGACAAUAAGUUAGGCAACUUCAGAAUCUGCAUUGUUUCUGACAAAUAACAAUGGAAUAAAGCCAGAAACGUGCUUGUACCCAUC
ensembl:lncRNA LINC02944 long intergenic non-protein coding RNA 2944